rnacentral:rRNA from 1 species
AGUGAACGCUGGCGGUAGGCCUAACACAUGCAAGUCGAACGGCGGCACAGUAAGAGCUUGCUCUUACGGGUGGCGAGUGGCGGACGGGUGAGGAAUACAUCGGAAUCUACUUUUUCGUGGGGGAUAACGUAGGGAAACUUACGCUAAUACCGCAUACGACCUACGGGUGAAAGCAGGGGAUCUUCGGACCUUGCGCGAUUGAAUGAGCCGAUGUCGGAUUAGCUAGUUGGCGGGGUAAAGGCCCACCAAGGCGACGAUCCGUAGCUGGUCUGAGAGGAUGAUCAGCCACACUGGAACUGAGACACGGUCCAGACUCCUACGGGAGGCAGCAGUGGGGAAUAUUGGACAAUGGGCGCAAGCCUGACCCAGCCAUACCGCGUGGGUGAAGAAGGCCUUCGGGUUGUAAAGCCCUUUUGUUGGGAAAGAAAAGCAGCAGGUUAAUACCCCGCUGUUCUGACGGUACCCAAAGAAUAAGCACCGGCUAACUUCGUG